GUUGGUGCUAAUAGCGGUGAGGGUCCACCCGUUCCCAUUCCGAACACGGAAGUUAAGCUCACUUGCGCCGAUAAUACUUGGCUGGAGACGGCCUGGGAAUCUAGGAAGGUGCCAACA
rnacentral:rRNA from 1 species